AGUAAAAGUCGUAACAAGGUUUCCGUAGGUGAACCUGCGGAAGGAUCAUUAAAGAGUAAGGGUGCUCAGCGCCCGACCUCCAACCCUUUGUUGUUAAAACUACCUUGUUGCUUUGGCGGGACCGCUCGGUCUCGAGCCGCUGGGGAUUCGUCCCAGGCGAGCGCCCGCCAGAGUUAAACCAAACUCUUGUUAUUAAACCGGUCGUCUGAGUUAAAAUUUUGAAUAAAUCAAAACUUUCAACAACGGAUCUCUUGGUUCUCGCAUCGAUGAAGAACGCAGCGAAAUGCGAUAAGUAAUGUGAAUUGCAGAAUUCAGUGAAUCAUCGAAUCUUUGAACGCACAUUGCGCCCCUUGGUAUUCCGAGAGGCAUGCCUGUUCGAGCGUCAUUACACCACUCAAGCUAUGCUUGGUAUUGGGUGCCGUCCUUAGUUGGGCGCGCCUUAAAGACCUCGGCGAGGCCUCACCGGCUUUAGGCGUAGUAGAAUUUAUUCGAACGUCUGUCAAAGGAGAGGACUUCCUGCCGACUGAAACCUUUUAUUUUUCUAGGUUGACCUCGGAUCAGGUAGG
rnacentral:rRNA from 1 species